rnacentral:lncRNA from 1 species
UAUUUUUAGCCCAAUGUUAAAGCCCAAAUUUGAAGCCUAACCUCCCUUACCUUUCAUAAACCCAAAGCCCAUAACCCCAUCAGAUAUAGAAGAGAAGACCCUAGCUGAACCCUUAUUGGACACUCAUGGCUGCCUUCUUCUUCUUCUUCAGCUAGACUACAACAAAAUACCUAGAGAGCAAAAAACGGACCAGCCGCCCAAGACCCCUCCUCUCUAUCGCUUAACCAUCAUCGACACUACCAAAAAACCAUCCAGCCGCCCAUACUCCACCAACACUAAGAGACCAAGCUCCUAGCGUCGUCACACCAUCCCAACCCAAAACCGCCACCGACCUCAUCUUCUCCAAAACCAGUAUGCCCCUGCCUCCAGAACUCUUUUCACCAAACCAGUCGCAAACCAUCCCAUUUGCCCCAUCUCCCUCACUUUACAAACCGCCGGCAACCAACCCUAACUCCAUCACCGCCAUAGCCAAGCCCCAUCAUCUACACCUUCACUAACCACGCCACCAGCAGCUGAUUGCCCUAGCCCCUACUCCAAAUGCACAGCCUCUGGCAGCAGCCCAACACAAACGACCCAUCUCAAAACCACCAAAUCAGCCGCAACACAACCACCACAGUUGGGAACACGGACAAAAAUCUGGACAGAAGUUAAAAAUGGAGUUAAGUCGAGACUGAUUCGAGGUUCAUCCUGGGUUUGUCGCAUUUUUGAGUUCAACGUCGCCUCACGAUUAAUUGUCAAAUUCGUUUGAGGUUGAUUUCCUUUUUAUUCUAUUCUGUUUUGCUUAAUUAAUAUCAUGAUUCCUUCGUUUCCUUAGUCUGUCUUUGCUUUGUUUCGCUGAUUAAAUGAGUUAGAAUAUGAUUGUUCUAGUCUUGAGUGUCUUGGUGAUAUUUGGUGUUCCAUUUUACUGAUUAUUGUUCAAUAUUGUCUGAUUCUCUAGUAAAUGUGUUUGGAUGGGUUUGACGGCUAAAAUGGGUUCUUGAUUCCAUGGUUUCACUACUUCAUUAAGAGAUAAGGCCUUCCGGUUACUAUGCUGAUGACAGAAGAAUUUAAUUAAAUGAUUAAUUGGAUUGGUUGGUGGUUCAAAUAGUGAACAUGUACCAUGGGAAUUAGGCUCGUAUAUUAGAAAUUUAGGGUUUAAGAAUAAACAUUCAUAGGAUAAUUUAUUUCUUGUUAUUUAUUUAAAUCGGCCUGCUAGGAGCAUGCUUAGGACGACCACACUUGGGUAGGCAAGCUUUAGGAUUUUGUUAGUUUUGAGGCAAGAGGUUGUUUCCUUAGUUAAAUUUAUCCGGGGAAUGCCCUGAAGGAUUUGUAUAUAUUUUGUCCGGGGUAUGCCCCAAAGUAUUUGUAUUUGGAGGCCGAAAGUAGAACUUGUAGUAUUUUAUUUUUUUUUUCUUUUAUUGGGUGGGAACGACCUCGAGCCUCGUGUGUGUUUAUUUUGCUUUUUUCAUUUUUAUUUUUACCUCAAUUUGAAUUCUGAAAGCCAACUAGAUCAAGUAUGCAACCGUACUAGUUACGGGACUCGGGGAAUGCCUAACACCUUCUCCCCGAGUCAAAUGAACCCACUUACCCGAAUCUCAAGUGCUGACUUAAUUUGGAGUCCAAAGUGUUUUAAAAGGAAUUUUUUUUAAAUGGUGACCUGGCACACCAAAACAAUGUCUGGUGACUCUGAGUUAUUUCCUUUUGAACACAAUUUUGUCACUUUUUAAUUAAAAACCUUUUUGAGCUUUACAAAUUUUUUUAUUAAUUUAAGAGGGUUAGUGGGUUUGUAAAAAAAAGGGUGUGACAGCUCUGGCGACUCUGCUGGGGAGUUGCAGGUUCGAGAUGUUAUUUGAUCUUGUUGGCUUUUAGGAUAUUCGAUUGAGGUGUUUGUUUUUUAUUUGCUUUGUUUAUCUGGUUUGUUUGUCUUAUUUACUUAUUUUUUUGGUUAUUUGUUUAUCUCUUUUCUUUAUUUGUUACUACUUUAUAAACUGUCAUCAUUUGCAUAACCAUGAGUCUUCUUUCUACAACAAUUUUUCCGGAGUACGUUUGAGCAUACACGACCUUUUGUGAGUCAUUCGUGUCUUUAGGGGGUGGCGUGGGAGCGUGGAGUGGGCGGACAGCUAGAGCAGCUGCCAUCGACCACGUGCCGCCCCGAAUUGCCUUGUCUAGUGAACCUCAACCGUAGGUCAACCUUUAGGUCAUGCUUAUGUGCAUCAUAUUAUUUAAACCUAGAAGGGUUCGCCCCCAGGCACCGUGUCCCGUUGUAGGAGGCCUAUCCAAAUUAUGUUAAAAUGAGCUUAUGGCCCAAAAAGACAUUUAAUCAUCCCUAUGUUCUACAUGUUGCAUCUUUGAAGGUAAAAAGUUCAUUUGGCAGACCGAUGUUUCGGAAAGAAGGGUGAAAACGAAGCAAGUAGGGCUGAAUUAUAUUUUCUUUCACAACUUUUUCAAAAAAAAAAAAUCCAAUUUUGCACUUUCCCCUCAUUUUCCAAAAAAUAAAAAAAAAUCAAUCAACGAAAAUCCAAAAGAUUUUACAUUUUUCAUCAUUUCUCAAAAAGACAAAAAAUAUGAGUUUUCCAAAUUAGUUGCAUUUUUAAAGAAAAAGGCAUUUUCCCAUGUCCAAUCUUCCCGAACUAAGUAUACUUGAUUCUCGUCUUUCAGGGCGUGAUACAUAGGCAGCCCACAUAGGGUCCAGUCUUCCUAGUGUCUUAGGUUCUUGGCUUCGCGGGGUCUUAGCCAAAUCUUGCAUGUCUAGCCACGUUUGGUCACAUCGGUUGUUUUUGCAAAAUAGGGAUAUUUUCACAAAAUGGCUUGUUAACCCAUGUAUUAGAGUCCUAAGCCCACAACAAGGUAUGUCCAUUCCUGUUGAAUUUGCGUGUCUAGCCACUUUUGGCCAUAUCGACCAUUGUUGCAAAAUGGGGUCAUUUUCGCAAAAGUGGUUCAAUUACCCAUGUCGUAGGAUUUUGAGUCCACAAAUAGGUUUCAUAUUACUUUAUGGUCCUUCCUUUUUGAGUUUGCAUCUUUAGCCACUUUUGACCAUAUCGGUCAUUUUUUGCAAAAUGGGUCAUUUUUGCAAAUUAAUAUUGGGCCAUGAUUAUUGGGAGUUUGAAUCUAUAUAAGCCUUAGGGAGGUAUGUCCAUAUUUUUGAGGUCAUCUUUGUUGAGUUUGUGCUAAUAGUCACAUUUUGGCUACGUAGGUCAUUUUGCAAAUAUAGCCUUAAUCAUGCCUUGCAUGUGCCAAUAGAAGGUGUCGUGGAGUCACAUGUGUCUUGAGUCACUAACUCUAUUUGAUCUUAAUUUUCCCAUUCAGGUAUGGAUCAAUUUGCUAGAGUUUGAGCAUGACAAAUACCCCAGGACCAUUCUAGUCAAGACCAUUGCAUGCACGAGCUGCUUGAGGAAACAUUUUAUUUUUUUAGUCUAUUUUAUGUUGUCUUUAAUUAUUAGUCUUGUACAGUUAUAUUGAGUCUGUCAGUCUAGUUAAGAUUUUCGAGUCUUUUGUUAUAGUACUUCAUGUAUUGUAUUUGAAAAAAAGAAGUUAUAAAUGGAAAAUUCAAAAAGAUUUUUGUUUCUUAGUUUAUUUUGUUUGUUACUUUCCAGAACUACGCUUGAUCUGAUUCAUGAAAUUGGGAAAAUGAAGAAGGAAAUGGGCCAAGAAGAGUGAAAUUGGGAUGAUGCCAUACGACCUCCGUACCCUCGAAGCCAUUCUAGAACUGUUAACUGUGAUUAGGGGCAUUGCACGUAAUGUGAUAUUUCUAUCUGAUAAAUGCCCUAAAGCAAAC